rnacentral:lncRNA from 1 species
CCACCAGAAGAAGCUUUAAUUAUUUUAAAUGUGCUUUGCAGAUGCAUUAAUAAUAGGUUUUCCUCGGGAAAUCUUUAAAUCAUGUAUGUACAGCUGGUAUCCCUCCAUCGGUAAGUACAAAGAAUAUUUUACUUAGAUCAUGAAACAGUUUCUCAAAGAAAUAAGUACACCUGGUUUGGAUUUUUUUUUUUAACUAUGCAA